UACGUAGGGGGCAAGCGUUGUCCGGAAUCAUUGGGCGUAAAGAGCGCGUAGGCGGCCCUGUAAGUCCGCUGUGAAAGUCAAGGGCUCAACCCUUGGAUGCCGGUGGAUACUGCAGGGCUAGAGUCCGGAAGAGGCGAGUGGAAUUCCUGGUGUAGCGGUGAAAUGCGCAGAUAUCAGGAAGAACACCGGUGGCGAAGGCGGCUCUCGGCGGUCUACCUGACGCUGAUGCGCGACAGCAUGGGGAGCAAACAGG
rnacentral:rRNA from 1 species